UACGGGGGGGCAAGCGUUGUUCGGAAUUACUGGGCGUAAAGGGCGCGUAGGCGGUUCGCUAAGUUGAAUGUGAAAACUCUGGGCUUAACCCAGAGCCUGCAUUCAAUACUGGCGGGCUAGAGUUCUGGAGGGGAUAGCGGAAUUCCUGGUGUAGCGGUGAAAUGCGUAGAUAUCAGGAGGAACACCGGUGGCGAAGGCGGCUCACUGGUCCGGUACUGACGCUGAGGUGCGAAAGCGUGGGGAGCAAACAGG
rnacentral:rRNA from 1 species